UCGGAUCUGUUACUGUUAUUAAUUAAGAGGUUUCCAUCUUUUAUUGUUUUAUCAAAAACGUUACAGAUUUUAAUUGGAGAAGAUGGAAGGUGACAGUCCUUUCUUUGAUUUAAAUGGACAAUCAAGAGAAGAGAAAGAGAAGGAGAGCUGUUUCCCAGAAAAAACCCUACACCCAAAAUUUCUAAAAAUACAAGCCCAAAAAAGGGAAAAGAAGUUAUUAUAGCAUGUUAUAAAACAAACUAAAACUAAGUACUAAAGUUUCUGCCGCCAUUCGCUUUGUCGUCACUCGUAAAGGGGUUGCCACCUGAAGCACGACAAAAAAGAAGAAAUUUCGAUUUAAAGGUAAUCAUUCAAACGUUUCUAUUCGAAUCCAUUUAUACAACAUUCAUAUAUACAUAUUGUUGUACUUAUACUCCCUUAAACUACCCUCAAUCCUAAUAUUCAUUGUGACUGAUCGAGUGAACGUUUCAUGUUAGUAAAUAAGACUAACAAACCCGUAAAAUAAGCUUUAAAAAUCAACUAAAUUGCUGGAAAUUAUGAUAAACAAAGAAAGCUAUAAUUAUCUUUCACCAGAGAUCCGAAAAAUCACGAAACUCACAAUAUAAUCGAGUUAAAGCACAAUUUAUUCGACUAAACAGAUUGCUGAAACUUUUUAACAUUUAGCAAAAAGUAAGUUUAAAAAAAACUUAAUUAAAACAUCUAGACUACUAUAAUCCCAAUAAUCAACUAAAUCAGUUCCUUAGGCAGCUAAUCAAGAAACAGACAUCAACAAAAAAAGGCUAGAUUUUUUUUUACCACGCUGCUUUUUCUCUAUCUCUGUUUCUCCACCGCUACCGUCAAUUUCCGCUCCUAACCAAGAAGUAAAAAAAAACAGAACAAAUUAAAUCCACAAGAUCAGAAAAAUGUUCGAGUCCUAGAUCUACAGAUCGGGACUUGCAUGUCGCCGGAGGACUCGCCGGAGCCUCCUCCGAUGACAUACAAGCCCGAAUCUGGAUUAAACAAAAAAGAAACAAAAAAAAUCAGAGAUAUUUCUACCUUUUCUUUCUCGUUGUUGAUGACUGAGGUUGGAGAGGAAGAGGAGAAAAAAAAGGAAAGAAGGAAGAAAGGAAAAGGAAGAGGGGGCCGCCGAGAGGAAAAAAGGAGGGGGAGGAAAGGAGAAGGAGAAAAAGAUAAGAAAGAAGGGGAAAGAGGAAGCGCGGCGUCGCCGUCGCCGGCGAAGGCAAGGCGGCGGCUGCCGAGAGGAAGAAGAAGAGAAGAGAGGAGAAGAGGUAGAGAGAAGGGAGAGGUUUGAGAGAGAAGUCAGAGAGAAUUGAGAGGAGAGGAGGAGAGGAGAGAGAGUGGGAGGAUGUAAAAUUGGCCUGUUAUACGUCUUAGUACGGUUAGAGUGAAAUGACUGAAUUGCCCCUACCUUUUUUCUUCUGCCCUCAAAGUUCUAGGGACAAUUUUGUCGUUUCACGUUUCUGGUUGAACCGCUGGUAACCGGUUCGACC
rnacentral:lncRNA from 1 species